GUAACAAGGUCUCCGUUGGUGAACCAGCGGAGGGAUCAUUACCGAGUUUACAACUCCCAAACCCCUGUGAACAUACCUUAUGUUGCCUCGGCGGAUCAGCCCGCGCCCCGUAAAAAGGGACGGCCCGCCGCAGGAACCCUAAACUCUGUUUUUAGUGGAACUUCUGAGUAUAAAAAACAAAUAAAUCAAAACUUUCAACAACGGAUCUCUUGGUUCUGGCAUCGAUGAAGAACGCAGCAAAAUGCGAUAAGUAAUGUGAAUUGCAGAAUUCAGUGAAUCAUCGAAUCUUUGAACGCACAUUGCGCCCGCCAGUAUUCUGGCGGGCAUGCCUGUUCGAGCGUCAUUUCAACCCUCAAGCCCAGCUUGGUGUUGGGAGCUGCAGUCCUGCUGCACUCCCCAAAUACAUUGGCGGUCACGUCGAGCUUCCAUAGCGUAGUAAUUUACAUAUCGUUACUGGUAAUCGUCGCGGCCACGCCGUUAAACCCCAACUUCUGAAUGUUGACCUCGGAUCAGGUAGGAAUACCCGCUGAACCUAAGCAUAU
rnacentral:misc_RNA from 1 species